rnacentral:rRNA from 1 species
GAUGAACGCUGGCGGCGUGCCUAAUACAUGCAAGUCGAGCGAACAGACGAGGAGCUUGCUCCUCUGACGUUAGCGGCGGACGGGUGAGUAACACGUGGAUAACCUACCUAUAAGACUGGGAUAACUUCGGGAAACCGGAGCUAAUACCGGAUAAUAUAUUGAACCGCAUGGUUCAAUAGUGAAAGACGGUUUUGCUGUCACUUAUAGAUGGAUCCGCGCCGCAUUAGCUAGUUGGUAAGGUAACUGCUUACCAAGGCAACGAUGCGUAGCCGACCUGAGAGGGUGAUCGGCCACACUGGAACGGAGACACGGUCCAGACUCCUACGGGAGGCAGCAGUAGGGAAUCUUCCGCAAUGGGCGAAAGCUUGACGGAGCAACGCCGCGUGAGUGAUGAAGGUCUUCGGAUCGUAAAACUCUGUUAUUAGGGAAGAACAAAUGUGUAAGUAACUAUGCACGUCUUGACGGUACCUAAUCAGAAAGCCACGGCUAACUACGUG